rnacentral:lncRNA from 1 species
ACUCCAGCUCUUCCCCAUGGGAAGUUAAUAAGAUGUUACCUAACUGCAAAUGGAAAGCGAGUCCUUCCUAGAGCCCAACUGUGCCCUGUUCUUGGCCUUGCUGCCUCGGAACUGUGAGACAUGCCUAUCUGCUCAGCAGCUAUGGGAUUCAUUCCUAGCAUGAAGCUUCUGUGUCCCCAUACUGAGAUGAGCUGCUGAGGCCUCAUGUGUGACCCAGCUCUGGUCUCUCUUCUCUCUCAGUCUUCCUGUGCAUUGGGCAUCUCUACCUGGAGACGCUGUUGGUUUUGCUUGGGUACCAUGAAAGCUUGCAAGUUCUUUCCACGAUACAGAGUACCAUUCUGUCCACAUCAUACCUGCCAGCCCCACUUUUUUGUCUUUGCUUCUUCCC